CAGAAUGUUGGAUAAGCGAAUAUGUUGGAUAAUAAGGAGAGAUUAAGGAAAAGCCUAUUAAACAUUAAAUUAGUUUAUGAUUUUACAAAUUAAGCACCAAAACAUCAUGUUAUACAACAAAUUUGACAGAAAAAGUAGUUCAAUAUGCAGUAAUACUAUGUAGUAAUUACUGUAUUUACGAAUUUAGCACCAAAAUAUCACAAUGUAUUGAAAACAUUGACUACAAAAAUGUGUUGGAUAAUCCAGAACAUCUGAUAAGUGAGUGUUGGAUAAGUGAGACUCUACUGUACUUAUUUUGCUAUACAAGUACUAGCUGGUGAUAUGUUCUACAAUACAUAAACACACACACAUGGAUGUCUGUACAUGUAAAAGAUGAGGAUAACUGAAGUCCUACAAUAUCUGGACGGUGAUAUGUUGCCCACCCCCGUUUAAACCAUCAAUAAAAAUUAAGUUGCAAUCUGAAGGCUGCAGAUGUUGGCCUUGUGAAUUGAAUUGAACUGACCAGAACAGAGAGCCCAUUUCUACAUCAGUUUAAUUGAGGCAGCACUAGAAUUGUCUGUCAAUAGAGGGGGAAACAACCUGUUCUUGGACACCAUUUACUACAGCUAUUCUGUUCAGGGAAGUAGGUGGCAGCUUCCAACUUUAUUAGUCUGGCAUGAAAUUAACAUCCACUUGAAACAAAAUGGGAAACAAAUGGUAGCAAAACACGCCAAAGAAAGCAAAAGCACUUGGAUUUUGGGAAGCGUAGACUCAGGCCCCUUCCACACAGCUAAAUAAAAUCCCCCAUUUUAUGCUUUGAACUGGGAUAUAUGGCAGUGUGGACUCAGAUAACCCAGCUCAAAGCAGAUAUUGUGGGAUUUUCUGCCUUGAUAUUCUGGGUUAUAUGGCUGUGUGGAAGGGCCCUCAGCCAUGUAGCAUCGGAUCAACAUAUUCCUCUUCGGUUUAUCUUGCACCUUCUCAAUUAAAUAUGUGGUCUCUUGGACUGGAAUAAGUACUUUUGAACAAAUUUCCUGAUUGCAACAUAGCCUAUCAGUAGAGUAGACAAUAGAAAACAGAUUUAGCUUCAGGGGAUUGGCAGCUUUUACAGGUGAGGGGGGAAAUCUUGCCUGCUUGCAGAAAUGCCAACAUGGAAAAUCACAGCAUUUGCCUGGGAUGUCAAGGGGGGCAGAGGGAAGAGAGAUUGUGAGAGGCAGGAUUUUUAACCUUGUCAAAUUCUAGGUAGUGAUUUUGUCAUAAUUUCUUUCCAGAGCUUUACAUUUUUACCCUUUCUGGACUAAAAUAUCUACCUCCCUGUCAGCAUGGCCAAUAGUUAGGGGAUUCCAGGAAUCAUAUUCCAAGGAAGUAACUUUGCCAAGCUUUGCAUCUGCCUCAUUUAUAAAGCAGAAAAACAGCCAAGACAGGGUGCAGUGCACUGUCAACCUUGUUCUGUUCCUGUCAGUGAUGUCCACAAAGUCUUUGGGCAGAAGAAUGGUGGCAUUACAAUCACAAAAUCGUAGAAUUACAAAACUGGGAAGGAUUGCAAAAGCCAUCUAGUCCAGCUUAUUGCCAUGUGGGAACAAGUGGCAAGUUUAUUCUUUAAAUGUUUUUAUUGUGAGUGUUUAAAGCAAAACCUAUAAAAUUAUAUAAAGCCAAUAUAAAAAUGUGCACGUCAGGCGCAGAACACAAAUACCAGAUCAACCAUUAACCUACCUUUCAGUGUUUGAGAUUCACUUAGUUUGCAUACAAGCCUAUCCAUGGGUUCAUUUUCACUGUAAAAUUAAUGUAGUUUGGAACAAACUUCACUGCCAUGGCUCAAUGCUACGGAAUCAUGGGAGCUGUAGUUUUACAAGUUCUAUAGCCUUCUCUGCCAGUAGCAUUGAGCCAUGUCAGUGAAAAUGGUGUCAAAUUGCAUUAAUUCUACAGUAUAGCUGGACCCCAUGAAAUUUUUGGGCAUAACUGAUGCAUUAAAAAUCACUGUGCACUGUGUCUGGAUAGCUGCCCCCCCCCCCCAGUCCCCCAGCAUCUCAAUCCCCCCUCCUUCAGAAAAGACAGGAAAUCAGCACUUACCUUGAUCUGGGGGCAGAUUAAGUUACGUGUUCUUUUCUCUGGGUGGGAGGGGGGAAUUGAGGUUCUGGAGGGGGGUUGGAAUCCUGCUCUAUUGCCAGCCAUGCAGAAUAUAACUUCAGCACAGCUGGGCUCUGGGGUCAAUGUCCCGUGUCCGAGAUAUUUGACAGCACCCCUGUGUAGCCAUAAUGCAGCUCCAAAUCUGUAUUUUUUCAUACUGGUUGGAGCUAAAAUAAGUGCCCUUGUAGAACCCCCCUUAAUAUACUUCUCUGUCUUGGAUUUGGUCUGAGCAGUGAAAGAAAUUUCUAUUGCUAUAUUGAGGCUAGCAAUUAAAACUUGUCUAGAAUUGAAUUUUGAGCUGUACUUUAAUGAUUUCCAUAGAAAUUACUUCCAAUUCCAUGUGAAUGAUUUAGAUACACCUUGCAUCAAAUAAAUAAAUUGAAUAUUAAGCACUAUAAACAUUACAGAUCUUAUAAAUGUCUCUGGAUCAGAAUAAUUCAAUUAAUAUGUGCUUGUCUUCCUUUGCUUCACCAACAUUUUUCUAUUGUUUACCAAAGUUACGAGUCCUCUCAGUUCAUCAAUUGUUCAUCGUUAAUUUGCUACCAUGAUCUAGUCCAGUGGUUCUCAACCUGUAGGUCUCCAGGUGUUUUGGCCUAAAAUUCCCAGAAAUCCCAUCUACAUAGUUUACCAGUUAUUAGUAUUUCUGGUAGUUGAAGGCCAAAACAUCUGGGGAUCCACAGGUUGGGAACCACUGAUCUAGUCUAUGAAACUGCAUUGGUCAAUUAAACUAUUAAUAGUCAUAGAAUGAUAUCUUGCAGGAAAAGACAUAAUUUAUUUUAGCAUACCACUGAUAUGUCAUGUUGUAAUUGUGGCAGCCAUGAGUUUUUAAAGUAAUAAAUCAAAGUGAUAUUCUUUAGUCUCCAUUAGAGCCUGAAAAAAAAAAACUUCGGAAGAUUACAACUUCCAGAGUCACUCAGCCAAUAUAGCCAUGGACUUCCUUACCCCCACCCCUCAGCAUGAGGGAGGGAAAGCACUUUGCUCCCUUACAGUGAAGAGAGUAAAAUAGUCCCAGCUAGGACUUGUUGUGGCUGGGACCAGCAUGCUUCGCUCCCUGCCAUGCUCUCCAUUCUGACUUCGCAGCUGACCCACCCUCCCACCCUCUAACAGUGUACUUCAACGGUCGCAAUUUGGGGCCAGGUAGGAAUUUUUCCCCCUCUAUGUUCUGGGAGGGGUUCACCUACCGUAUACUGUUUAAUCCAAGACAAAUUGAGAGUGGGCUUUAAAUAGGCUAUCAUGUGGGACAAAACAGGGGUACGUUACAUCUUGAGGUGUACCUAAGGCACCCCUUUGUGAUGUAGGCUGUGGGUGGGAACCCUUAUCUGCAGUUAAAAGAACCAAAGUGAGGGUGAACAAUAGUGACCUUGAGUGGGGAGAUUUCUGUUCUCAAUAUACUCUGGAAUUGGGAUGGAAUUUUCCAUCUGUUUCCCUGAAUUGUCAUCAUGGAGGCAACAGUUGGUUGUAGCCGGGGACCAUGGAUUCUCGCCCUUAAUUUAUGAGGAGGAGGUCUUGGAUGGCCACUGCCUUGGUUUCAUGACACACCAAGUUCAUGCCCAUAAAUUGGUUGGCAGUUCACACAGAGAUUGAUUAGUAACAUUUCAUAAAAGUUGUCCAUAGUUUAACCCACAUUGUUGUGUUGAAAUGUUAUUUUGCUGGGGAGCAAAUGGUGGUUCUAGGUACUAGGGUCUAAACAGGUACAUUUUUCAGGUUUGUUCUGCAUAUGUUCUAAUAAUUGCACAAUUUUUCUACUGUGUAGGUAGAGACAAGUAGAAAUUAAACAAAAGUCAAGAACCACCUAAAAUGGUACAUGUCACUUCCUACAUUCAGAAGUCAAACUCUUUCACAUGGAAACCUGGGCUUUUCUCCACUGGUUAAUGUGUUAAAGGCUUUACAAAACAUCUCCCUUCAUUGUUUUUGCUGCA